rnacentral:rRNA from 1 species
UGAGGAAUAUUGGUCAAUGGGCGCGAGCCUGAACCAGCCAUCCCGCGUGCAGGAAGACGGCCCUAUGGGUUGUAAACUGCUUUUGCGCAGGAAGAACGUCCCCUUCGUGAAGGGGAGUGACGGUACUGCAUGAAUAAGCACCGGCUAACUCCGUGCCAGCAGCCGCGGUGAUACGGAGGGUGCAAGCGUUAUCCGGAUUUAUUGGGUUUAAAGGGUGCGUAGGCGGUGAAAUAAGUCAGUGGUGAAGAGCUGCAGCUCAACCGUAGUCCUGCCAUUGAAACUGUUUUACUUGAGUAACCAUGAGGUAGGCGGAAUGUGUAGCGUAGCGGUGAAAUGCUUAGAUAUUACACAGAACACCGAUUGCGUAGGCAGCUUACUAGAGGUUCACUGACGCUGAUGCACGAAAGCAUGGGGAGCAAACAGG